rnacentral:rRNA from 1 species
AUUGAACGCUGGCGGCAGGCUUAACACAUGCAAGUCGAGCGGUAGCACAAGAGAGCUUGCUCUCUGGGUGACGAGCGGCGGACGGGUGAGUAAUGUCUGGGAAACUGCCUGAUGGCGGGGGAUAACUACUGGAAACGGUAGCUAAUACCGCAUAACGUCGCAAGACCAAAGAGGGGGACCUUCGGGCCUCUUGCCAUCAGAUGUGCCCAGAUGGGAUUAGCUAGUGGGUGGGGUAAUGGCUCACCUAGGCGACGAUCCCUAGCUGGUCUGAGAGGAUGACCAGCCACACUGGAACUGAGACACGGUCCAGACUCCUACGGGAGGCAGCAGUGGGGAAUAUUGCACAAUGGGCGCAAGCCUGAUGCAGCCAUGCCGCGUGUGUGAAGAAGGCCUUCGGGUUGUAAAGCACUUUCAGCGAGGAGGAAGGUGGUGAACUUAAUACGUUCAUCAAUUGACGUUACUCGCAGAAGAAGCACCGGCUAACUCCGUG